GCCAAUUUGGUCUAGUGGUUAAGGCAUCAGACUGGAAAUCAGGAGACUGUGAAUUUCACCUUAGGCA
rnacentral:tRNA from 1 species